rnacentral:rRNA from 1 species
GACGAACCGUGCGAACGUUGUUCGGAAUCACUGGGCUUAAAGGGCGCGUUAGGUACGGGCCCGCAAGUCGAGGGGUGAAAUCCCACGGCUCAACCGUGGGAAGUGGCCUUUGACUACUGUGGGAUCUUGAGGGAGGUAGGGGCGUGCGGAACUUCCGGUGGAGCGGUGAAUGCGUAGAUAUCGUGAGGAACACCAGAGGCGAAGGCGGUUACCUGGACAGUUACUGACACUCAGGCACGAAAGCAUGGG